UAGGGAAUAUUGCACAAUGGGGAAGACCCUGAUGCAGCGACGCCGCGUGAAGGAAGAAGUAUCUCGGUAUGUAAAGCUCUAUCAGCAGGGAAGAAAAUGACGGUACCUGACAUAAGAAGCUCCGGCUAAAUACGUGCCAGCAGCCGCGGUAAUACGUAUGGAGCAAGCGUUAUCCGGAUUUACUGGGUGUAAAGGGAGCGUAGGCGGUAAGGCAAGUCUGAUGUGAAAACCCAGGGCUCAACCCUGGGACUGCAUUGGAAACUGUAGGUCUAGAGUGCCGGAGAGGUAAGCGGAAUUCCUAGUGUAGCGGUGAAAUGCGUAGAUAUUAGGAGGAACACCAGUGGCGAAGGCGGCUUACUGGACGGUAACUGACGUUGAGGCUCGAAAGCGUGGGGAGCAAACAGGAUUAGAUACCC
rnacentral:rRNA from 1 species